rnacentral:rRNA from 1 species
GAGCUCAAAGUUGGAACCUGUUUGGCUUAGCUAAACCGGAUUGUAAACUGUAGAAGUGUUUUCCAGACACGCCUGGUAAAAAAGUCCUUUGGAACAGGGCAUCAUAGAGGGUGAGAAUCCCGUCUUUGGCCAGAGCUGUUGUCUUUUGUGAUACAUUUUCAAAGAGUCAGGUUGUUUGGGAAUGCAGCCUAAAUUGGGUGGUAAAUCUCACCUAAAGCUAAAUAUUUGCGAGAGACCGAUAGCGAACAAGUACCGUGAGGGAAAGAUGAAAAGAACUUUGAAAAGAGAGUUAAACAGUAUGUGAAAUUGUUAAAAGGGAACCGUUUGGAGCCAGACUGGCUUGACUGUAAUCAAUCUAGGCUUCGGCCUGGAUGCACUUGCGGUUUAUGCCUGCCAACGACAAUUUUUUUUGAGGGAAAAAACUAUUUGGAAUGUGGCCCUCCCUCGGGGGGGUGUUAUAGCCUUUUAGAAAAUACCUUGAAUUGGAUUGAGGAACGCAGUGAAUGCCUUUAGGCAAGAUUGCUGGGCGCUUUCGCUAAUAAAUGCUAGAAUUUCUGCUUCGGGUGGUGCUAGUGUUUAAAGGAGAAACUCGUCUGGUAUAUU